UAAUGUCCAUCAAUAUAUUGUAGCAUUUCAAGUUCUUUUUGGGACAGAAAUGAGACUGCAACUGUGAGUAGAUGAUUUUACAAUAAUUCAAUAAUCACUAAAUAAAAUCAUAAAGUGAAGGAAAGGGAAUUGGUCAUAAAUGAAAAUAAAUUAUUGUAGUAGUUUUUCUUUUACCCUACCCUACUAUUGUACAAUGUAUUAAAUACAUUGUACAAUAGUUAUGAUUGCAGCCAGUUAGAGAUUACAGACAUCCCUGUGCAAAGUAUAAGUAACGUGUAAAAAUGUGUCCCUCAACCAUUUACUGGGACCUCAGCACAAAAACAAUCCCGCAGAACUGUUUUGUACACUCAGUCGAAUGGGUGCAGUGAAGUCCACAUAAAGCUCCCUUCACUUGUUCCCUAAGGAAUUGGGACAACCCUUAAGAUGGCGAACAUAGUACUUCCGCCCCUCAAGGGAAGGUAACGAGUGAGCGAGGGAGCGGUUUGGGAUGCAGCCGUAGUCUGCUGCCGUGUUAGUGGCGAGGCUGUCCGACGGGUGCCUGUAGCGUGCGUGAUCCGCUGGCUCGCUGCAGUAUAAGCAGUGCGUUUGUUAUUUAAAUCUAUGUGCCCUCAGGAUUGGAACUACUACAACUGAAAGAAACAGAGGAAUGCAAUAUGAAUCCUUCUAGGAGAGGUUAUGGCGUUACUAUGGUGAGUUUAAUAUGUUAUAACAAUCAUAUUGUGUUCAGGAAACAUCACUGCUAUUCCAAUACUUGGUGUUGGAACCCUUAUUUGGGCAACCUUUAGUCUUCUGAUGGGCUGGGCCACCUCAAGGUAACUUUAGAGUUUAUAAAACACAGUGGCAAUAAUAGCAUUAAUAUACAAUUGAAAUUGGACAAAAUCACGACUCUUUGCAUAUUGUGUGUGAUCAAUAGGCAUCAUCUCUUGAAGAAGCUGCAUUAUGGGAUUGCUGCCUUCUUGCAUGAACAUGCAUUCUUUUAGAAACCCAACAUGGAAUACAUCUUGUAAUUUCUUUUACAGAUUUGGUUGGUUUGGACUAGAUAGGCCAGAGGUUCCAAAUCCAGUCUUAAACUAUAUUGGGACACCAGGAUUAAGCUUGACAGUGUUUUGGAAGAAGGUACAACAGAUACAUCACGGGUAGACAAGCUCAGCCCAAUGUACAAGAGGCUAGACUUUCUUUUCAGGAGCUCUGCGGUCCACAUCCAGCAGUGUCUGGUUCAUAUCCUCCUACUACCUUCUCAGUCAUCACAUAUCUCAUUGCCACAGUAGUAUGAAUCUAUGGCUGUAACCAUUUUAGAAAGUGGUAAUAAUCCACAAAUACAGUAAAGAUUCUUGUUUUUUUAAAAAAAAUUUGUAUUGUACAAACAGCUUAAUACCACACAUUUAAUAAAAGUGUGAGGAAGUAUACCCAAGGAUGAGAAAAAUGCAACUGGAACUGUAUUUUUUGUGUUGUGUAAAGCACAGAUUGAGCCUGACAACCUUGCACAUGGCAUUGCUACACGACCCAGCCUUAAUUUCAAUGAUGUGGAGUGUAUUUUACUUCAAAGAAAUUAAAAUAUAUUUAAAGUUUUCCGCUAAUUAUCCAGUCUUUACUGCAUCACAGAUAAAUCAAUAAAUGAACCUUUCACCCCCUCCACUCCCCCCACAAACUACACAUUUCAUGCUGUCAUAAACUGUAAUGAUAUUGUUUAACCAUCUAUCAAACACUAUGUACUGUAGUUCUUGAUCUGACUGUAAUUUAGGGACGCUAGUUUAAUUCAUUACAAUGUGUUUUUUUGUUUUAUAGGGGAAAACAUAAUUUUCUUAAUCGUUCUGUUGUACCGGUGGCUGGAAUCAUCAGUCACACUUCUCGCUCUUUGAAAGACAUCCUGAACAACCACAGUUUUUACAAACCCAGCCAGAGGUGACUUUAACAGGCACCUCUUAAACAUAUUCAAUUAACAGAAUAAAUGUAUGUGUGUAUUUUGUAAAUAAAUCAAACUCAUU